CAAUUAUUUAUAGCCUCUGGCUAUAGGAAAUUGUUAGUGGCAGACGGGUGAGUAAUGCGUAGGAAUCUACCUAGUAGUACGGAAUAGCCAUUAGAAAUGGUGGGUAAUACUGUAUAAUCCCCGAGGGGGAAAGAUUUAUCGCUAUUAGAUGAGCCUACGUUAGAUUAGCUAGUUGGUGAGGUAAUGGCUUACCAAGGCUAUGAUCUAUAGCUGGUCUGAGAGGACGAUCAGCCACACUGGAACUGAGAUACGGUCCAGACUCCUACGGGAGGCAGCAGUGGGGAAUAUUGGACAAUGGGCGAAAGCCUGAUCCAGCUAUGCCGCGUGAGUGAAGAAGGCCUUCGGG
rnacentral:rRNA from 1 species